UGGUAGACACGCGAGACUCAAAAUCUCGUGCUAAAGAGCGUGGAGGUUCGAGUCCUCUUCAAGGCAUAGAGAAUGCUCAUU
rnacentral:tRNA from 2 species